rnacentral:lncRNA from 1 species
AUGCAGACAGCAAUGUGUAUCAUUCCAGCCUUCUGCUCUCCAGAAAAGAUAGUGCUUGUGAGAUUUCUGGUUGGCCCCUACUGAAGGUUGUUCACAUGUGUUCUGAAGGCAGCACAGUACAGGACAGAGAAAUAGUGACCACUCGUGUUAUUCCAAAGCAUUAUCUCCCUGGUCUGUAAUCAAGCAGAUCAUUAUGGUUUACAGAUGGAAGGGGAAGGCAGACAGUAGAUUGGGAAGCUGUGGAAGAGGAAAUGCAUUAAGUUCAAUUCAGCAGAGCAAGCACUUAGAGAAGCAAAAGGAACAAAUCACAGCCUCAGAAACGGAGUUUGGCUGCUUAUCAGGUUUUUACACAAAUGAUCUCUGUGCCUGAAGUCUGAGCAAUUCUUCUGAAGGAACAACAGAAGUUAGAAAUCUGAUUUAGCCUGACAAGCCGAAUGAAGCUUGGUGGAACUGAACAUAUAAAAGAUGAUAAUUACUGAGGACUUUUCAGAGAACUCACAAGAAUCCGUCCAGAAGGCUCACUCUGUACCAAAACAAGUGUCAAAAUAGAUAAGUGAAACUUCAUGGUCAGGAAAACCCCAUUCACUGGGAAGGUCAGUGUCACAAGAGUAUUUUUCCCUAUGGAGAAUUUGCUCUUCAAAAAUAUGAUGAGAUAAAACAUUACUGGUACCAUGUUAUAUUACUUUUGCUGAAAUGGGAACUGCGUGGGUGGCUGACAAACUUGAGGGAGUGAACAUGCAUCUGACUAAUACUGUCUUUAUCUUAUCUUUUCUGUGGGCUAAAAAGCAGCAUUGGGAAACACUUAUGGAAUGGUCUUUUCCUCAUGGCUCUUUAACUUGAUUAUAUCCUUAUUUACUAUUUAUAUCCUUCAAGUUUUCCUUUAUUAUAUCAGAAUGCAAUGCAUGAUUCAAUGGAUUGAAGGUAAAUAAGCAGUAGUAAUAAUUAAUCAGAAGCCCAGUGAUUUUUCUUUAAAUAUUUAUGUUUGCAAGGCACUGAAUCAGGUUCUCAUCAAGGAGUAGAUUUUUAUAGCAUGAAUAAGAUAAAGUGAGUAACAUUUCUUCCUGUUAAUCUAAGUCCUUCUAAUGUAUUUAUCCUGAGUACAACAAAGCAAGUGCUGCACAUUGAUACUUAGCUCUGUUUACCCACAUGGAUGCUUUUGAUAAACUUCCCAUGAAGCCCUCUUUGGUGUUGGGAGAGUAACUUUUUGCCAUGGGUUUUUCCAAAACAAAAUAAAAGUUUAUGGGAAAGAUCAGCUGACCAGUGCAUCUGAAACUUGUGUAGUUUCCUUUCUGCCUCAAGGAGGACUUGCAGAUUACAUUUGAUCGGUGAAACCUGAGUUCAAGACCUCACCCAGAGUGUUGAAACUCUUUGGCAAACCUAAGUAACAUCUGCAAGACCUUGUGAGGAUGUUAUGUAUAGCUGCAAUGAGCUCAACACACGUUGAUCUCUGAUCAGAAUUACAGUUUUUUUUUUAACUAUUUCAACAGGAUGUAGUGCACCAGUAAAGAAGAAAAUUGUGAUAUAUGCUAAAGUUUGCUAGACUAUAUACUCGCAUACAUAAAAAUAAUUAUACCAUAUAUGUAUGUGUAUGUAUGUGUGUAUAAAUAACUUUAUUUUGUUUUCAAAUAACUAUCUUAGAUCUCAAUCCCAGUCUUACUGUAUGCAGUAGGAAUUGCUCAGUGAAUAAUAAGAACAUAGCAAAAUAAUUACAAAAAAAAAAACCUAACAAAACAAAAAAAACCCAUCAGAUCAUACUUCUAAUGCUGUGUGAUUUUAAAGCUCAGUUUGUUUGUAAAGAUUCAGUAGAUUUAAAGCAUAAUAUUAUUUGUUUAUUUUGCCGUUACUAAUUACAAUUAAUUUUUUUAAAAUUUAAUUUAAUUUUAUUUAAAAUUAAUUUUAUUAAAAUUAAAUAAUUAAAGACAUUUGUAUAAAACAGAAAAAAAUAAAACAAAGUUCAUCACAACAAUCUUUGAUUUACAAAACUAUUUUCCAUGUGUCUUCUUUUUUUUUUUUUUUUUUUUUUUCCCAUGGGGAUUUUUCUAAUCUCUCAUAUAACCAUUAAAUUAAGUAAAAUCUUCUCAGAUUUAUGAGAAAUCUGUGGAAAUCUGUGUAACUUCAAGGAAGGAUUGGAAACUGAAAUUUCUCACCCUUGGAAAUUUUUGACGCUUCAAUAGUAUAAUAUACAGGCAAAUAAGAAAUAAAAUGCUUUCACAAACUUCAAAAAUCUUAGUUGAAAAAAAUAAUUUUCUAAAUUAUUGAAGGUCACUUCACCACUGGAUGAUAUUUGCUUGAACUUACAUAUCGUGUAAGGAGGCUUAAAAUUUAUGUGUUUUAUCUUUUUGGUAAGAUCUAUUUGCCUCGUUUCUUGGGCAGGCAUCAUGAAUGAUAAUAUACUACAGUCAUGGGGCUUUCAGCCUGUUCUUCAGGUGGGGAGUUCAAAAUAAGUUAUGAAAAGUAGCAUGAAUAGGAAUCUUGUCUUCUUAAGAUUUAUGGCUCCCACUAUAAAUAUAAAAUUGAUCUAAAAGCAAGUAAGCAAUUUAGAAGUGAGUCAGCACUGCUCCUGAAAUCUCUGCCGUUUUGUGUGUCCUCUCUCCUCCACACUCCCUACUGGCUCCCACCUCCAGA